rnacentral:rRNA from 1 species
CCCGGGCCUUGUACACACCGCCCGUCACACCACGAGAGUUUGUAACACCCGAAGUCGGUGGGGUGACCGUAAGGAGCCAGCCGCCUAAGGUGGGACAGAUGAUUGGGGUG